rnacentral:lncRNA from 12 species
UUUUUUUGUUUGGCGGGUUGGUUGGUUUUUCUUUUUGUUUCUGUUUCAAGUAAUAUGAAGUUCUGUUGCCACUUGAUUAUCUUGUCAGAAAGCAGUUCGGCAGUUCAUAGCAAAAGCUGGAAAUGUUUACGUUCAUUUCAAGCUGUUUGGUGCCAGAUACUCUGCUAGGCACUGAAUUAAAAACUAUCAAAAAUGACCCAUCCCAGGUCCAGCGGACCACAUAGACUCACUGGAUGCAGGAGCACACAUGCUGUUAUGAAGAGAAGGGGACUACUAUGGUGCAUCUCACCCAUUGCUCCGCUGUGGUACAUUUCCUACAUCGUACUCCAUGCUUGCAAGAUCCUCCAAGGUCUAUGGCUGAAGAUAUACGUGGCAGUCCCAAACAGUGAAGCCUUUUGCUAGUUCAGUGGCCACUGGAGAAGAAUUGGAGGAUCGGAAGGCCAUUAACCCACUGAAGGUAUUCAAUCUCAGUCUUUCAAACUUUAGAAGCAGAUUCUUUAAUUUUCUGGGACUCAUUGAAUCCAACAGUCAGAUUAAACUAGAAAAUGGAAAAUUCCUCAGACAUUGGAGAAAUUCUGUGUGGGGAAUGCACCACAGUUAUAAAGUUUCUUGAGGACAGUGAGCAAACUCCUUGAGGACAGGGACAACUGUCCAUUCAACUUGGUGAAAUUUCCUGCAUCCUAGCACAGUAUGAAGCAACUGUAG